GGGGAAUAUUGCGCAAUGGUCGAAAGACUGACGCAGCGACGCCGCGUGUGGGAGGAAGCCUUUCGGGGUGUAAACCACUGUCAGGGGGGAAGAAUCCCGGGUACUCGAAUAGGGUGCCCGAUUGACGGUACCU
rnacentral:rRNA from 1 species